rnacentral:misc_RNA from 1 species
GAUGAAGAACGUAGCGAAAUGCGAUAAGUAAUGUGAAUUGCAGAAUUCAGUGAAUCAUCGAAUCUUUGAACGCAACUUGCGCUCUCUGGUAUUCCGGAGAGCAUGCCUGUUUGAGUGUCAUGAAAUCUCAACCAUUAGGGUUUCUUAAUGGCUUGGAUUUGGAGGCUGCCAUUCUAAAUGGCUCCUCUUAAAGGAGUUAGCAAGUUUUACUAUUGCUAUCUGGCGUAAUAAGUUUCGCUGGAAUGGUAUUGUGAAGCGUGCUUCUAAUCGUCUUCGGACAAUUACUUUGACUCUGGCCUCAAAUCAGGUAGGACUACCCGCUGAACUUUAGCAUAUCAAUAAGCGGAGGA